rnacentral:rRNA from 1 species
UACGUAGGUGGCGAGCGUUAUCCGGAAUUACUGGGCGUAAAGCGCACGCAGGCGGUUUCUUAAGUUUGACAUGAAAACUCCUGGCUUAACUGGGAGAGGUCGUUGAAGACUGGGGGAACUUGAGGCAAUGAGAGGGGAUGUAGAAUUCACGGUGUAGCAGUGAAAAUGCGUAGAGAUCGUGAGGAAGACCAGUGGCGAAGGCGGGGUCUCUGGACAGUUCCUGACACUGAGGCACGAAGGCCAGGGGGAGCAAAACGGGG